GGACAGAGGGUGCAAACGUUGUUCGGAAUUACUGGGCGUAAAGCGCGUGUAGGCGGCCAUCUAAGUCGGGCGUGAAAUCCCACGGCUCAACCGUGGAAGUGCACUCGAAACUGGAUGGCUAGAGUCCUGGAGAGGAAGGUGGAAUGCUUGGUGUAGAGGUGAAAUUCGUAGAUAUCAAGCGGAACACCGGUGGCGAAGGCGGCCUUCUGGACAGUGAC
rnacentral:rRNA from 1 species